CAAAAAAGCGAAAAGUAUAGGAGCUGAAUGUAAAAAGAGCAAACUGGAGGGCAAGUGACUACUCAUUAUUGUAUGAGUUAUGUCAAUUUCUCUCUUCAACUUAUGAUAACAAAUUACAUAGGACUAGUAUAGUA